rnacentral:rRNA from 1 species
GAUGAACGCUGGCGGCGUGCCUAAUACAUGCAAGUCGAGCGAACGGACGAGAAGCUUGCUUCUCUGAUGUUAGCGGCGGACGGGUGAGUAACACGUGGAUAACCCACCUAUAAGACUGGGAUAACUUCGGGAAACCGGAGCUAAUACCGGAUAAUAUUUUGAACCGCAUGGUUCAAAAGUGAAAGACGGUCUUGCUGUCACUUAUAGAUGGAUCCGCGCUGCAUUAGCUAGUUGGUAAGGUAACGGCUUACCAAGGCAACGAUGCAUAGCCGACCUGAGAGGGUGAUCGGCCACACUGGAGCUGAGACGCGGUCCAGACUACUACGGGAGGCAGCAGUAGGGAAUCUUCCGCAAUGGGCGAAAGCCUGACGGAGCAGCGCCGCGUGAGUGAUGAAGGUCUUCGGAUCGUAAAACUCUGUUAUUAGGGAAGAACAGAUGUGUAAGUAACUGUGCACAUCUUGACGGUACCUAGUCAGAAAGCCACGGCUAACUACGUG